rnacentral:tRNA from 2 species
CGGGGCGUGGCGCAGCCUGGUAGCGCACCUGCUUUGGGAGCAGGGGGCCGGAGGUUCAAAUCCUCUCGCCCCGACCA